AUGUACCGAGGUACGUCAAACCCGGACUAUCACCGGCCGCCGCUACCCCCGUCAGGGUUCGGACACCCUGCAGCAUCUUUUGGACCUCCGCCGUUCUGCCCUCCUUUUGGGGUUCCUCCGGGGCCUCGAUACUGUGCUCCACCGCCCGGUCCUCCUCCGGGACGUCCGUACGGAACAGGGAACGAAAACUACAACAGAGAAUCGUUUUACGAGAACCGACCCUUCACCAGCCCCACGGCGGACCAAAGUGGAUCCACGCUGAUCAGCUCUUUGCUCACACCUUCAAAUCAGCAUCAGCUUGGUCACUCUUCACAAAACUGGUCAACCCAAAGUCUAGAUGAUCAAAACCAAGAAGUCAGGAAAAAGGCAGAAGAGUUUCUCAGAAUUCUGGAAGCAAGCGACCGGAUUGAGCUGCCAGGAGAUAAAAAUGACAGUGGCACAGGAGACAAGCAUCCAAGCCGAACGCGGAGUCGGAGCAGAGGGAGGAGCCGCCCACGCAGCCGUGGAAGGAGCCGGGGUCAUAGUCAAGCUCGGAGCCGUGGAAAGAGUCGUGCUCGCAGCAGAACACGCAGCCGUAGUCGCAGCCGAGGUAAAAGCCGCACAAGGGGCAAAAGUCGUGCGAGGAGCCGUAGCCGCAGUCGUAGUCACGGGAAGAGCGGAACGCACAGUAAGAGUCAGUCACGCGCGAGUCCCAGCCAGACAAAACAGUCUUCCAGAGGGACUGCUGAAGGCUCUAGCAGCACCAGCAGUGGAAUAAGUCUUGGUGGUAGUGCCAUGCCUGAUCUAUUUCAUGGACUAAGACAGAUCCUACAGAACAAAGAUCUAGACAAACACCUGCCUUUGGUCAAGAAUGCCCUCCUUAGAAACCAGAAUACUGAUGACACAAGGGGAAUGUUUCUGGCAAAUCAGUCUGCAGUUAGAGGCUUCCACAACCCAGAACCUGAAAUCUCUGCUGAACUCUGCUACGGUUCCCUGCUUCCUCACGAGAGGGCUGGCGGAGAAAGCGGCAGCUUUUCCAACAUCUUAUCCUGGAACACACCCAACCAGCAGCCUGAAACCAAGCCUGCAUUCCAGAGUGUAGAAGAUGAGGAGAAAUUCCUAUAUGGAGAGGAAGAGGAGCGAUCCAAACCUCAGGCUGUGACGGUUCCGUUAGCCCAGACAAGAUCUGCGAGGUCUCCGGUUCAUCAUCUCAGUAAAGAACACCAGACUCUCAGUCUCCAGGAACCCAAAGCGCAUGCCGUGCCUGCUAGCGAGCAGCCCGCUGCUUCUGGCACGAUAAAAGUCUCUCCAGAGGAAUGCGAGAAGGUGAGAACCCUCCUGAGGACCAUCGGCCUGAAUCCAGGCAUGGCUGACGUCUGUAAAAUGGCUGCCAGACUAAAGAAAAAAAAGGAAGAACAAGGAGUUCCAGCCUCGCUCUCGAUGCUCAAACCAGCCCUGGAGGCGUUGCAAGCACUGUCCAGAGCAUCCAAAACCGAUGACAGUAGGAGUAAUCGCUCUGGAAGCAGCCAUUCUUAUCAAGAGUCCAAGCGUGAGGAGAAGAAGAUGGGUGAGAGGGAGCAAGACACACGAGAGAAACAGAUUCAAAAGAAAAGGAAAGAGUACCUGGUGAAGGAACUGGAGGGUCUGCUGAAACAGGAAGGUGGGGGUGAUUUGAUCCCGGUGAUGGGUUUCUUCUGCCAGCGCUGUGAGGAGUUCUUCAGUGAUCUGAAUAGUGCUGAGAGACAUGUAGAAAGUCACAGCCGCAAGGACAAGAACAAGACAACAGGGUCACAGGAGCAGCACAGGGAUGCUAAGAGACAUGAAGAGCAGCAUCACUCAUCAUCUCACAGACGAGACAGCGCACACAGUAGGCCUGAGAGGUCGACGUCCUCACGGGUCUACCAGGACCACAGGGAACGCAGUCCUGACAGCAAGCGCACCAGAGAUGAAAGAAGCCCUCAUUCUACAGAUAUCAAACUCAAAAAUGAGCCAGAGGGCAAAGACAGUAAGGAUGAGACUAAAGACAAAUACAAAGAGAAAAAGGAAAAGGAAAAAAACGAUGAUGAUGCAGAAUCAACAAAGAGUGAGAAAAAGAAAAAGAAGAAGGAGAAGAAAAUAAAGAAAAAAGAAAAGAAGAAAAAAAAGGACAAGAAAAAAGCAGAGGGUGAUAAGGAUUCACCUUAG
ensembl:lncRNA